rnacentral:sRNA from 1 species
AAAAAAAUCAACAUUAAAAUAGUUAUCUUCCCUCUCCUUGGGUUUUGAGGGAGACAGAGAUAAGAUUUGCAUCUAUAACGAAGCACUUCUCUCUUCUCUCUCGUCCUCAAUACUUCGGUGUCAAUCUGAUAUAGGAAACUAGGCAUUGAUAUAUGGUUAGAUACGUGGCAAUACAUGAGUGGAGACAGUAGCUGUGAGACGUGGCAAGAGAAGAUUGGUCGAUGGGAGUGUUAGAGGAAGAAUCGAGAUGCAGAGAUAUAUAGCUAAUGAAGAUCAUUUGCAGAAGAUAAGAAGAUUUUGGAUUUGUUGUUUAUAGUUUCCUUUUGGAUUCUCUCUGAGAAUCGUUCCUCAUCGUUCGCCGGAGUUUCAUGUUGAACUCUUGUAGAUGAGAAGUUGAUAUCGCGUUUCAUGAACGUUGUAUCAAUCUGUCAUUUUCAUUAAUCGAAGCAUUCUAUUUCGUUACUCUGUUUUCCGUUAUCACUGGUAUCAGAGCCAAUCGUGUCCUCGGUGGAGAUCAAAGCUACUUGCACGAUGAAGAGUCGUCGGCGCAUAUCGUGGGAAGAGAUAAACGAGAGCUGGUUGAAUGGCUUAUGUGUGUUUUGCA